UCUGUUGGUUAAGGCAAAUUGCAGAGCCUGUUCAGAUUCGGGAGGAGGAAACAUUCCACGUGUUGAUGGAGGAGUGAUAGAGGUCCACAGGCAUGGAAGGACUUGGUGUCCGUCUUUGGAAACAGUCUCAAACAAGGAUUGUGUCCACCCGAGUUUGAGUAAAUGCAGAAAGAAUUGGCUUAUGGCGUUGAGGAGAGCCUAAAGCACAGAACCAUUGAGGGUUUUGCUGAAUGCAAUGGAACCACCGUCUCUGGAACACCAGGGGCCGGUCGCCAUAGAAGCAGUCAACCUGAACCGUUGCAGGGUGUUUAUCUUCAGGAAUCUUGAGGCCCACCCCCAGGAGCCCUGGGCUUCCAAGAGGAUCACUGCCCCUCUGACAAGCAUGAAGACUCCAUUUCUGACCUGCUCUUGUAGCGGCAACUUUUAGGCGAGUGGAAGGGAAACGCAGAAAACGCUCCGUGGAUGUCUUUCUUAAAUAGGCUGCAGAUGGACUUAGGACAACAAGAAAAGUCCCAUCAAGCAUCUGUUUACAGACACAGACAUCCCAGCACACGUGGAUUCCAGCGUAGAAACCUCAGCUCACAUGAUUAGAGAGAUCUUCAAAGAGCAACAUUGUUCCUAGAAGCUCUUCCGUUUACUAGGAAAGAGGUGACUGUAGAAAGCGGGUGUUGAGAAGAAUAGCCCAUAUGGACCCCUGGAUGCUGUUAUUUUGCCUUUUAGGGCUCAGAGGAUCUGGGUGUUUUCUUUGCUGAUCUCCCUUGUGCAUGUGAUCAGGUGACAUUGGUGUCUGCACUGAUAGGGGUGGCUUCUACUUCUCACGGACAGAAUCAGGGCCAUCUGUCUCCUUUUGGUACCACCUCUUGGGUAGUGGGUGGUCCAAAUAAUGUGGAGAAGAGUCCUGAGUUUGUGCUGUCUCUGCUUUAAUUUGUGUACAUUUUCCUUUAACUACUCUGCUGGGAACAUUAAAUCAAUGUGGAUGAUUUUUGAAGAAUGUAAUCUAGAAAAUUCAAUUAUUUAGCGCCUGGAAGGGUUUCAAAGAUUAAAAUGCUGUGCAAAAAUGUGUAAGCAUUUAUUAUUAAAAUUAAACAAAUGUUUUCUCCAUGCAAUUAAAUUGCAUUGUCAAAAUGGUGUGUUUGACUCCUCCAAACACAUUUUGUGUUAUUUUUAUUUGGACUUUUUCUAAUGCUCCCAGGCAGAAUUAGAAACUUCUCUCCUCUGUUGCUCCCAUAGCUUUGUCUUUAUACCCCUAUUUUAGCUGAAUUCAAUUCAAUUUGAUUUUAUUUAGUUUCAAAUAACACUUAUUAAGUGUAAACUCGGUACUAGUUACGGUUCUGGGCUCCAAGGAACAAAACGUUAAGUUGUACCUUUCAUCAAACUACAAGAGUGUGUGUGUGUGUGUGUGUGUGUGUGUGUGUUUUAACUUUAAUGCAGUUAGUUCCCUGGUAACAAAAUUCAAAGGAGGCAGAGGGAAGGGAAUGAAUGCCUAUCAGCAUUCCAGGUGCUGACAGCUUCAAAGAUGAAUGAUUUUGAUUGCAUUGAAUUAACUAUGAAAGCUUUCAGCAAAACUGAGUCCUUUCCCUUUUGGAAGGAUUCAUCUUUUUUUAAGUUUAUUUUUGAGAGAGACAGAGAGAGAGAACACAAGUAAGGG